rnacentral:rRNA from 1 species
UACGAAGGUCCCGAGCGUUAUCCGGAUUUAUUGGGUUUAAAGGGUGCGUAGGCGGGUUAUUAAGUCAGUGGUGAAAGCCUACAGCUUAACUGUAGAAUUGCCAUUGAUACUGAUGAUCUUGAGUAUGAUUGAGGUGGGCGGAAUGUGUCAUGUAGCGGUGAAAUGCUUAGAUAUGACACAGAACACCGAUUGCGAAGGCAGCUCACUAAGUCAUAACUGACGCUGAUGCGCGAAAGCCAGGGGAGCAAACGGG